UACGUAGGGGGCUAGCGUUAUCCGGAAUUACUGGGCGUAAAGGGUGCGUAGGUGGUUUCUUAAGUCAGAGGUGAAAGGCUACGGCUCAACCGUAGUAAGCCUUUGAAACUGGGAAACUUGAGUGCAGGAGAGGAGAGUGGAAUUCCUAGUGUAGCGGUAAAGUGCGUAGAUAUUAGGAGGAACACCAGUGGCGAAGGCGACUAUCUGGACAGUAACUGACGCUGAGGCGCGAAAGCGUGGGGAGCAAACAGGAUUAGAUACCCUGGUAGUCCCUGAGCGGG
rnacentral:rRNA from 1 species